UGAUAGAGAAAAGUGGGUCCCUGGGCACAGCCUGUCUUGCAGACAGCAGAAAGCUACUUUGGAACGUCCCUCUGGAGCGAGCAUUUAUUGAGUUCUUACUGGGGGCAAAGUGCCAGGUCAGGCCUUGGUCAAGUUCCUCCCUGCAGCAGAUGGUAUGGUGGAUGAAGUUUUGUGUUUGCUCUACUGACCUGAAGUGAGGAACAACCACAUACAUCUUUGUCUUCACUCUGUCCAGCUGUCAACUGCAUUGUUCCCUCACGUCUUCCUGCAAAGUACCAUUAUUUCCACACCUUAAGAAUUAAAGAGUGAAGAGAAAACGACAAAAUGUUCUUGUUUAUCAGGAGAUGGGGGUGAGCUGAGCUUUCCACAAGGUCCUGAAUGGAUGAGAAGGACCCAAAACAUAUGGAAAAUAUGGAGAAUAGGGUAUAAGUAAUAAAAAUAAAAAUAAAAUAAAUAAAAUAAAUUGGGAAU
rnacentral:lncRNA from 10 species